UACGUAGGGGGCAAGCGUUGUCCGGAAUCAUUGGGCGUAAAGCGCGCGUAGGCGGCCCUGUAAGUCCGUUGUGAAAGUCAAAGGCUCAACCUUUGAAAGCCGAUGGAUACUGCAGGGCUAGAGUCCGGAAGAGGCGAGUGGAAUUCCUGGUGUAGCGGUGGAAUGCGCAGAUAUCAGGAGGAACACCAAUAGCGAAGGCAGCUCGCUGGGACGGUACUGACGCUAAGGCGCGAAAGCGUGGGGAUCAAACAGG
rnacentral:rRNA from 1 species